rnacentral:lncRNA from 1 species
AUCUAGAAUUAAGACACUGAGUGGGAAGAGAGAUACAAAUAUGUCCAUAGAAAUAUGGAAGGUUUUAAGCCAGAAAAUCCUUAAAUGAAGGUCUGUAGCAGUAUCUCUCCAGAUAUUUAAAAAUACAAUGAUCACCAAAAUAUGCUAUAAAUGUUUAAAAUGGACUCCUAUCGAAAGUUCAGAGGUUAAAGAUGAUGUUGUUUAUGGUACUCCUAGAAAUUGAUUCUUCUUUAUUUUUUCUUUUCGUUGAGUUUAAUUGCCACUAGAAUUAUUUUCAAGUUAAGAAGAUAAGAGGAUUGACUUUUUAAACUUCAAAAUGAACUUCCCUGCUGUGACUGACUAUAUUCCCCAGUAUGGAGAAUUAUGAGGAACCUGUUGAACAGAAAAGUCUCUGACCAUAAUCAAGGUCACACAGUCAGAAGGCAUCCCAGCAGACACUCCACACUAGCCAAUGUGGAUUCAGAGACUGCACCCUUGAUUACUGUGUUGUUUGAUGAUACUAGUGCACCUUCAUGAAUCAGAACUUUCCAUAUAUGGAGGUUAUUCAGCAUGUCCUUUGUGAGUAAUGGUUACAGGUAUAAGGUGCAUACAGGUAGAUGUGAAGAAGGCAGUGGAGGAUAACAGGAAAAUGGAAGAGAAUGAGGAAAUGUAUGGUCCUGUGGAAGAAACACUGGAAUUAAGCCGGCAUCAAUUGCGGGCAAGGCUGAAUCCAGGUUUUGGGGGCCUGAAGCUUAAUCAAUGUGGAGGACCUCUUUGAGGAAAAGCAUGCAAAAUUACAAAUACAAAAUUAGUUUAAAAACAUCUGAGGAAGAUAGAAAACAUUUUAUCUUUCAAGAUAAAAAAAGAAAAGCUCUUUGCCAACAGAAAACAUAAUAUGCGGACUCUAUGGCUAUUGUUUCUGAAAAAUAUAAGAGAUGAUUACAUCACAUUGUGUAUUCUGUAGGAAAAACACUGUAAUGCUUAUAUGGCUAAUAAUGGAAUGAUCUAAGUCAAUAUAUUGUGCAGUUUUGAGUGACAGAAGAAUUACACCAUUAUUCUUUGUAUUUUGGUUUCUGCACUAAGUUAGUCAUGUUCACUGUUUCAUCAUCAAUUAUCAUUCACUCAUUUUAUAAAAUUUUAGCAUCUGCAUUUAAUGUUACUGUAUGGUUUCUGUUUACUACAGCUGGUUGCAAUAGACACAGAUGACAAUUUCAGAGCUGUGUAUAAAAGGUCACAAAAAGUAAACAUUCAAAACAGAAACAUCUUACUUCCAGAAAGUAUAAAAUUGACGUAUGAGUAAGAUGUCAAAAGUUAUGAAAACUGGAAUGUGUUCAUCUCAUUACAUGUAAAUGCAUCUAUUUGAAAAAUGUGUUUUUUAAAGUAGAUCAUUAGGUAACAUUAGUCUUAAAAAUCAUAAAUUCUCCAUCAUUAUGAUUGUUCUAUGUUACCAAUUACAUAUAAAUGUUAAAUUACAGAGAAAACAAAUAGAAAAUAAUCAUCACAUGUUUAAAAAUUUGCAAAAAUAUAAAAAGUUAUAAAAAAAUUCAGUUCAAGAAGUAGAACAAAGGGCAUAAAAAUAGUACUUACUGUAAAGACAAAACCACAUAAUUUAUAUAAUACAUAUUUUAUAGAAUUUUAGUUAUACUACACACACACAUGCACACACACACACACACACACACACACACACACUAAAUGCUAAAAUGUGGAAUAAAAAAUUUACAGUGGGAGGGCAGGCAGAACAAGGUGACAAGAUAGCUAUACCUCCAAAUCUAUAUCCUCCAUCACCAAGACUUAUCUUGAAGUGUUAAACCUAGAAGUGUAUCCAGUAACCAGCCUUCAGAAGAAUAUUUUUUCCAAAGUGCUGUUGAAUUAAAAUCAUAAACAGCUAAUGGAAUAGGAAUGAAAUAAUUAUUUUCUUUCAUUUGCUGGAGAAAAUACUGAGCUAUGAGCUUUUCUUUUCACUACUGGGGUUAAAAUUUUAAGCAUUCUAUUCUUAAAGGAGUGUCUUUUUUCUAAAGAUUUACGUUCAGCAGCUGAAUUUUAAAGCUCUGAGAACACAGCAGUUAUAUGUUAAGCCUAGUGCAAACCUGACCUAGAUUAUUUUCACUGGCUAAAAAUUAUGAAAAAUAUCAAUAAUUUUAUUGGCAAAAAGAUACAUAGAAUAAGUAGUAAUCUUAAGAACUGAACAAGGCAUCCAGACAUACUGAAAAAUAUGGGGCAAAGCAAUUAGAGAAAAAUUAGUCAUUUUCUUCUAGAUAGAUUAUAUAUUCUUUAACAGUAAGGUUUAUGACUAUUAUCUUUAUUUCCCCACCUGCUCUUCCAGGAAUAGCUGCAUAUAAUAGUUACUAAAUACAUAUUUUUAAAUUAUCAGGUUUCCUUUUAAUUCAUGUAACGUUUUAAUCUGUAAAUGUAAUCACAGAAAGUCACCUCAUUUUUAGCUUUACUGAUUGGAGAUGAGGAUUGAUAUUACGAUAAGAGUGAUAUAACAUAUGGUAGACCUAAGUGCAUGAAUUUUGUAUUCCCAGGUAUCAUUUAAAUUUCCUGUCAUUUUAUGUUGUUAUUUGUAAUAUCUUUGUGUUAACAUGCCUCAUGGUAAUUUAGGAGCAGUGACACAGUCUUACUAAAAAAAUGCUAGGGCUCUUGGCUUAAAAUGUUCACUUGCAUUUAAUAUUACAGAAAUUUACAUGUUGGGAUUAAGUGGCCUGAAAAUGUAAGAUAAAAUGGAAGUAAUGCAACCUACUGCAAUAAUAUUGUGCCAAUAUUCAGGCAGGGCACAGAGGAAAAACACAACAGGUUUUGAAACCAGUCAAAUUAAUCACAGCCUAAGCUGGACAAGAGAGAGGGAACAAUUGCUAUUCAUCAGAUCAUGCUGUGAUGAUGAAGGAAACAGAUCUGAUAAUUUGAUUACUGGGCUAUAGAUACAGAAUUUUGGAAAUCUUUCUCAAGUAACUAACUUCUGGGAAUGUGUGCAAGUAUUUCUAUGGCUUGGAAGUAGGAGUUGAAUCGCUCUUAUAACUCGUAUGUUUUAAGGUGAGCAACCCAGACACAACAAAAACUGUUCAAAUAUGAGAUCAAGCAAUAAUUCAUGAUUCACAGACAACAAUCAGGGAAAGGGAGCUAAUAGUAUGAAACUGAUGAACAGAAUAUCAGAGUAGUAGCCCUUGAGGUAUUAUGAGCCAGAGAUCUAUACAUGCAAUUAUAGGCUUCCACUUUUCAUUUUAAUGUCAUGUUAACCCCUUAAAACCUUUUAUUUGUGUCCAAUAGAAUCAAUGUACCUAAUAGUCAUUCACCUCAUAGACUCUACCUCAGGGUGGUAAUUUGAGAGCCUGGAAUGCCAGCUGAGGGAAGACAUGGGAAGACAGCCAAGAUCAGCACUGCCUUUCUGUCAGCCCCUACUUGAUUUUCCUUGCAUCAGUGGUGCUAUCUAAAGGAAUUGCUAAAUGGACUGAUGGAUGUAUUUGUUAAUAAUGACUUUAUCUAUAUAAUGAAGUGAUGGUUGGUAUUCCUGGCCUCUGAGAAUUUUUGAAUCCAGAUUUUAUAAAAUAUAUAAGUCUUGCAUUACUCUGAGGCAGCAAGACAGUGUAUCUCUUUGAAAUGAAGGUGAACUUGACUAAAAUUUCAGGUCUAACAUUUUCUAGCUGUAUGACUUUGGACACCUCGGUUAUUCUCUUUUCCUCACUUUCUUCUUUUAUAAAAUGGAGAUGUUACAUGUCCAUUUAUAUGGUUCAUAUAGCAAACACUUCAUAUGGUUGCUGUAAAGAGAAAAUGAAAUCAUCUAUGUGAACUGCUUACUGGAAUACUGACAGGUAGAAGAUGCUUACUUGUUAAUAGCUAUUUCUAUGGCCACAAGAUGCUCUUAACUAUUUAAAAGCUUCAUCAUUUGAAAGUGAAUACUAUUAUUUAAACUUGAGAGCUAUCAAAUGCAUUUCAUAUUUUCUGUUUGAAAAAUAUGAUGUAAAAUAAAUUAAUACCAAGGAAAUAUUGGUAGUUCACAAAGUCAUUUGCAAUAGUCUCCCAAGACUGAAUACUUUGGGGCACCAAAUUAUGGAAGGCUAGAUAAGUGCUUCUGCAUUUUAAUAAGUGAAGCUGAUACUACAACUUUUUAAAGUAAUGAUGUAUUUUCAUGGCUCCUGUCUCUGUAAAAGCCAAGUGUUCAAAGAAAUGCAUUAAAAAAUUAAUGGAUAUACGAA